rnacentral:rRNA from 1 species
AGAACGAACGCUGGCGGCACGCCUAACACAUGCAAGUCGAGCGCCCAGCAAUGGGAGCGGCGGACGGGUGAGGAACACGUGGGAAUAUGCCUUUCGGUUCGGCACAACUGCGGGAAACUGCAGCUAAUUCCGGAUACGCCCUUACGGGGAAAGAUUUAUCGCCGAAAGAUUAGCCCGCGUCUGAUUAGCUAGUUGGUGAGGUAAUGGCUCACCAAGGCUUCGAUCAGUAGCUGGUUUGAGAGAACGACCAGCCACACUGGGACUGAGACACGGCCCAGACUCCUACGGGAGGCAGCAGUGGGGAAUCUUGGACAAUGGGGGAAACUCUGAUCCAGCGAUGCCGCGUGAGUGAUGAAGGCCUUCGGGUUGUAAACUCUUUUACCAGGGAAGAUAAUGACUGUACCUGGAGAAUAAGCUCCGGCUAACUUCGUGCCAGCAGCCGC